UACGUAGGGUGCAAGCGUUAAUCGGAAUUACUGGGCGUAAAGCGUGCGCAGGCGGCUUUGCAAGACAGAUGUGAAAUCCCCGGGCUCAACCUGGGAACUGCAUUUGUGACUGCAUUGCUGGAGUGCGGCAGAGGGGGAUGGAAUUCCGCGUGUAGCAGUGAAAUGCGUAGAUAUGCGGAGGAACACCGAUGGCGAAGGCAAUCCCCUGGGCCUGCACUGACGCUCAUACACGAAAGCGUGGGGAGCAAACAGG
rnacentral:rRNA from 1 species